rnacentral:lncRNA from 1 species
GAGGAAAUGAUAACAGCCGGAGUUGGACGAAGCUCUGGGGCGGAGCGGCACCCCCGGCAAUUGGGGCCGAACGACGCGCGGUGCUGCGGCUCCGUUUCUUUCCCAUCCCGUUCCUUUCGGCCCCGCAGCCCCCGCUCCUCCUUCCCGCAGGAAUCCGACGCGUUCCUGAAAGGAGGAAGGAAGGGGUCCCCGCCGCCCCCUCCCCAAAGCUUCAAAGGUCAGAGGGGUUCCCUUCGUGUCAUCUCCGCUUUCGUUUUUCUCCGUCUCUUUUUUUCUCCUUUCCGACCCCCUCCUCUCUCUUUCCUUUCAGAGUUUUCCCCUUCCUCCCUUCUCUUCUCGACCCCCCCGGACAGAAGGGGCUCGGAAGGCCCUCGUCAGCAUCAUCCCCGUGCCCGCAGCCCCGCGUUCGGACCCCAUUCACCCCCCCGGUUCCAUUGCAGCAGCAGCAGCAGCCGCGGCCCAGCGCCGCCGGAGCGCCCAGAGGGAUGCGGACCCACAGACACAGCGGACCCUGUGACUGACGCAGCCCCCCCGGCGCACAGCUGAAUGGAAAGGGUGCAGAAGGUAAACGGGGGGGUGGGGGGUUUGGUUAUCAUCAUAUGGGCGCCUAUGGGACACCUCCUUGCGCGGCUGUGGGGCAGCCUUCCUCCUCCUCGUCCUCAUCCUCCUCCUCCUCCCAGCCUGGCAGCCCCAUCUAGUGGCCCUCCCACGUCCUCUCCGUGCGUCCCCGACCCCUGGAUUUCAAUGCUGCACUCCCAGCCCACCCCAAAUCUCUGCACCCCAUCAGGUUUCCCCGCGUCCUCCAAACAGAACUUUGCCCUAAAUGUCCGCUGUGGGGCAGCCUUCCUCCUCCUCGUCCUCAUCCUCCUCCUCCUCCCAGCCUGGCAGCCCCAUCUAGUGGCCCUCCCACGUCCUCUCCGUGCGUCCCCGACCCCUGGAUUUCAAUGCUGCACUCCCAGCCCACCCCAAAUCUCUGCACCCCAUCAGGUUUCCCCGCGUCCUCCAAACAGAACUUUGCCCUAAAUGUCCCAUUUUUUUUUUUUUCACCCUCCCCCCCCCCCCACAACCCCCCGCCCCC